UACGGGGGGAGCAAGCGUUGUUCGGAUUUACUGGGCGUAAAGGGUGUGUAGGCGGUUAUUUAAGUUUGGUGUGAAAUCUCCCGGCUCAACCGGGAGGGUGCGCCGAAUACUGAAUGACUUGGAGUGCGGGAGAGGUGAGUGGAAUUCCUGGUGUAGCGGUGAAAUGCGUAGAUAUCAGGAGGAACACCGGUGGUGUAGACGGCUCACUGGACCGUAACUGACGCUGAGACACGAAAGCGUGGGUAGCAAACAGG
rnacentral:rRNA from 1 species